rnacentral:rRNA from 1 species
GAUGAACGCUGGCGGCGUGCCUAAUACAUGCAAGUCGAGCGAACGGACGAGAAGCUUGCUUCUCUGAUGUUAGCGGCGGACGGGUGAGUAACACGUGGAUAACCUACCUAUAAGACUGGGAUAACUUCGGGAAACCGGAGCUAAUACCGGAUCAUAUUUUGAACCGCAUGGUUCAAAAGUGAAAGACGGUCUUGCUGUCACUUAUAGCUGGAUCCGCGCUGCAUUAGCUAGUUGGUAAGGUAACGGCUUACCAAGGCAACGAUGCAUAGCCGACCUGAGAGGGUGAUCAGCCACACUGGAACUGAGACACGGUCCAGACUCCUACGGGAGGCAGCAGUAGGGAAUCUUCCGCAAUGGGCGAAAGCCUGACGGAGCAACGCCGCGUGAGUGAUGAAGGUCUUCGGAUCGUAAAACUCUGUUAUUAGGGAAGAACAUAUGUGUAAGUAACUGUGCACAUCUUGACGGUACCUAAUCAGAAAGCCACGGCUAACUACGUG